CUGCUUAUACAAUGUCACGAGAUGCUGGCACUUGCAUGACCCCUUUCAAGUUUAUUGAUCAAUAUAGACAGUGUUUACACGAAUGUAUGUGAUUAAAGAAUAAAACAUGAGGCUGAAUUUAUUUUACUCUUUAGAACUGUGGGAGGAAACCGGAGUACCCGGCUAGAACCCAAGACUUUCGGUGGAGCGGUGACUGACUCACGUAAGUGCCGAGAUAUAAGUGUCAUGACUCCGCAGCAAGAAUCCAACCUCGAUUCAAACGACCGACGAUCUCAGGCGGUGAAAGGCGUUUGCUCUGGCGUUUGCUCUGGCUUUUGCGCCACGGAAGCUCCAAACGCCCCAUAAUAAUAAAGUGCUUAAUUAAAGUGCCUAUGACACGAAAUUUCACCCCAAAUGUUUAUGAUUGCAUUGUAAAGAUCACUUAAAAUGACUUAAUAACUUCUUUAUAGAAUUUUGGUAACUUGCCUACUUUGCAAGAUAUUCAACUUUGUUUCAUACGCAAAUAUCACCGGUGUGACAUCGCAUAAUGACAUUUUGAAAACGCAAUAUUUUAC